CCUACGGGUGGCAGCAGUGAGGAAUAUUGGUCAAUGGGCGUAAGUCUGAACCAGCCAAGUAGCGUGAGGGAUGAAUGUUCUAUGGAUCGUAAACCUCUUUUAUAAGGGAAUAAAGUGUGCGACGUGUCCUAUUUUGUAUGUACCUUAUGAAUAAGGAUCGGCUAACUCCGUGCCAGCAGCCGCGGUAAUACGGAGGAUCCGAGCGUUAUCCGGAUUUAUUGGGUUUAAAGGGUGCGUAGGUGGACUUUUAAGUCAGCGGUGAAAGUUUGUGGCUCAACCAUAGAAUUGCCGUUGAAACUGGGAGGCUUGAGUAUGUUUGAGGCAGGCGGAAUGCGUGGUGUAGCGGUGAAAUGCUUAGAUAUCACGCAGAACCCCGAUUGCGAAGGCAGCCUGCUAAGCCAUGACUGACGCUGAUGCACGAAAGCGUGGGGAUCAAACAGGAUUAGAUACCCUGGUAGUC
rnacentral:rRNA from 1 species